UUCAAGAACAAAUGGUUCGCAGAGUAAAAAGGAGAAAACAAAUGACUCUUGAGAAUCUGAAGUUAUAUUUGAUGCCGUUUCUAACGGGACAAGUAUGGCCUACGUUUUUUGAUGGGAUAUUGUGUUCUGUCCACCCUAAGGCAGAAAGCAAAACUUCCGUCAACACACCGAAUGAAAAACAGAAAUAAAAAGGAGGAGGAUGCGACUACUUCUUAGGUACGGAGAUUUUUAUUGUAGACAUGAGGGAGAGCAGGGAGAGCAUUGCCUGAGGUGGAGACAUCCGGGAGAGUCCAGAGUGAACUGAGCCAAUCCGAGGAAGGUGAAUCCUCAACUGAGAUUCUCUCUUCAUGGAGGACACGUGACCGUGUCUAGGAGGGCAUUUUCUUCCCGUCAUGGGUGGUAUCAGUCCUCAGGCAGGUUGGCUUGGGCUGGAUAGCUGAGCGAGCCAGUAAGAAGCAUUUCUUCGUGUCUCUGCUUCAGUUCCUGCCUCCAGGUUCCUGUCCGGAUUUUCCUCAAUGAUAGACUAUGUAACCUAUAGAUCAAAUAGAUCUGGAUCCUUUCUUCCCUCAAGUUGCUGGUCAUGAUAGGGAAAAGGAGGCCAUCUAGGACAGGAAUGUAUGAAAUACCUACGUAUGUAUAAUGUUACUCAGGGAAACAGCCCAGAGUUUCACUUGACGAAUAAAGAACACUAUAGCCACAUAUCGGAAUACUAUGCAGCCAAAAUCUGCGAAAUAUUUACAUAUGUUAAUAUAAGGCAGUUUUCAAUAUCUGUUAAUGGAAGAUCUC
rnacentral:lncRNA from 1 species